CCUACGGGUGGCAGCAGUGAGGAAUAUUGGUCAAUGGACGGAAGUCUGAACCAGCCAUGCCGCGUGCAGGAAGACGGCUCUAUGAGUUGUAAACUGCUUUUGUACAAGGGUAAACCUGAAUACGUGUAUUCAGCUGAAAGUACUGUACGAAUAAGGAUCGGCUAACUCCGUGCCAGCAGCCGCGGUAAUACGGAGGAUCCAAGCGUUAUCCGGAUUUAUUGGGUUUAAAGGGUGCGUAGGUGGAUUGAUAAGUUAGAGGUGAAAUGUCCGAGCUUAACUCGGGAACUGCCUCUAAUACUGUUGGUCUAGAGAGUAGAUGCGGUAGGCGGAAUGUAUGGUGUAGCGGUGAAAUGCUUAGAGAUCAUACAGAAUACCGAUUGCGAAGGCAGCUUACCAAUCUAUAUCUGACGUUGAGGCACGAAAGCGUGGGGAGCAAACAGGAUUAGAUACCCCUGUAGUC
rnacentral:rRNA from 1 species